CACGUAGGGCGCGAGCGUUGUCCGGAAUUAUUGGGCGUAAAGAGCUCGUAGGCGGCCUGUUGCGUCCGCUGUGAAAGCCCGGGGCUUAACCCCGGGUCGGCAGUGGAUACGGGCAGGCUAGAGGUAGGUAGGGGAGAAUGGAAUUCCCGGUGUAGCGGUGAAAUGCGCAGAUAUCGGGAGGAACACCGGUGGUGUAGACGGCUCUCUGGACCGUAACUGACACUGAGACACGAAAGCGUGGGUAGCAAACAGG
rnacentral:rRNA from 1 species